CAUAUGUGAACAUUACGUUUAACUACGUAUUAAAUCUUGUAUUACUUAUACAAUUGGUUCAAAAUGCCACAUUUUUGCAGUGUCGUUAAAUGCGCAACGAGAUACGGUUUCUUUUGUCCGAUUUUAGCGCGACAUAGAAGAGAGAUGAUUUGAAUGCUUUCUCUAGUGAACGUCGAAAUGUUUGUGUUAAGGCUUUAAAACGGGUGCCUUUGGGUGAAAUCUUUGUGAGAAAUGAUCGUAUUUGCUUACGACAUUUCAUAACUGGAAAACCAGCUGCCUUAGAAGACAAAACUAAUCCAGCUGUGUUGCCCAACGAAAAUUUAGGAAACAUUUGUAGUCUCUAACCAGGUCAAUCUGCCUCCCUACUCCCUAUUUACAAGGUUUUUAAAAAGAGCUAGAAUGAAACCAGAGGUCCGAGCUGAAGUUCUUUCUGCAUGGUGUACAAGAAUUUGAUAGUGUUUCACAAUUUAUUGAAGAAAACUGAGCAAAGCAGGUUUAUGGAAGCUGUGUUAGUGAGUCAGUUCAAACUGAUGUACCUAACUGAAGAAUAUUCAAGUCGUGUUUUUCAGAACUUAGAUUUUUGCAAUUCAAUAAUGUACACCUUGCAAGCAAAAGUUCAAGUGAUGGAUGUAAAUGAGAAUUAUGUUAAAAAUAAAUGCUUUAUCCCUAA